CAAAGCUCAACUUGCUGUGGCUAAUCAAUCGCUUUACCUGCAGAGGGCCAAAGCGACCAUUGAGAUGAUGCUAUUUGUUAUUCCGACAAAUCACAUCCGCGAAAUCCGGUCAGCGUAUUCUGCCCGACGCAGCUGCUGCAGGCCAAUAUGUGUCCAGGGUCACCUUGGACGCAUUAGGAUUAAAUAUGAUGCUUCUCAGCUCGGAGAUUAAGCACCAUGUUGUCCAUAAGAUGACAGAAAGUGAAAGAAGUCGACAUACAAACAGAAUGAAGAUGCUGAUACAAAAAAGUAUGUGUCAAAUAUUUAAGCAUGGAUGCAUUACGUGUUCCAAUUAUGCAGGGUUCUUCUAUUCUCUUUUUGUAGGUGUACCAAACGAGGUGUGCAAAAUGUUCAAAAUAAUAGGUACACCCCAGUUCUUCCAACUUUCAACUCGUUUUAAUUUCACUUUAGAUCUCGAUGUGUUGAGAAUCAUCAAGAUGAGCCAUUGCAUGUCUACAGUGGCACAAUUAGGAUGUGAAUCAAAAUUAUCACAGUAGUGUAAAUAGAAGAAAAAAAAAACUUUGGAAUCGGAUAGCUUCUGAGGGGAAUUGGGCCUUGUAAUUAUGGAGGGAAAAAUCUGAUUUGUAUUGGAUGUCUGCCAGUGUGAGCGCAGCGCAAACGCACUGACACUCUGGAGUUUGCACAGAUAAGACUAAUAAACACAUUUUAAAAGACAUCCGCCGUUAAUCUACACGAAAGCGUUGACAAUUAAAUAUGGUGUAAAUAUGCUACAUUAGAGGUGUUCAUUAUUUAAUAUGCCAAAUAAUGUGGAUUCAUCAAAAUCAAUUGGAGGCGAAAGUAACAUUUAUUAUUUGUAUUUAGUCAUUCUUCUACAGGCGUUUGAAAUUUCUCUUGAGGGAAUUAUAUGGAGGAAAAUAAAUAUAUGGUAAAUGUACGAGUUGUUGCUCUUUGCCAACCACACUUCUGAAUAGACAGCCAACCACAUCCAUCGUAAUCUGUUUUUAAUUCUUCUUCAGAGUACAAGUCAUUUUACUAGUUUGAUGACAAUAACGUGUCACUUCUAAGUUGUGUGAAGAGUUUGGACCAGCGUGUAGACAAGUCAAACCCCUUAUGCUGCACCACCAUCUUGUUCUUCAGGCAACGCUGGAUCAAGUCAAGUUGCAUCUAUGCUUCCCAUGGAAAAAAAGCAUGAUAUCAGGUCAUCACCAUCAUGAACAUACAUGUACAUGCAGACAUGGGUACAUCCUAUGUCUUCGGUAAUCAACCAACUUGCGCUGUCUUCGUGUGGGAAAUACAAGCCGACCUUGGAGAGCCAAAGGCCUCGCCCUGUCACGAGGAUAUCGCCGCUGCCUGACCCGUGGGCUCAUCAACUUUACACUUCGUUGGCACUUUUGUUCUUAAAAUCGUUGUUCAUUAUUUUUCAAUUAAUUCCGACACAUGCAUCCAACUCAGCGUAUGAAUGAUGAUGCAUACAUUCUAGAAAGUUGAGCUGCCAGAGUCAAAAUGCUAAUGCUACGCUGCAAUAUGUCAUUCGUCCUUGUGCCCGCCUGGCCCGCAGCCCGACCGGGCCCAGCCCAACGGUGUCAGACCUGUCAGCUCGGCUCUCCUUCUCCAGAGUGGACCGUGACCCUGGCCAUGAUGACAGUGCAGCGCAAGAGAUUAUAGAGACCCUGAUAGUGCGCCGCGCCAGCGUUAUGCGCCCACUGCCCUUUUAACUCAAAAACACGGGCUGGCUUCCAGCUCUGUCCGCCCAGAUCACAUCUGCCCACUUGCCUGGCAAAGGAGCCAGCGCGAGAGUACGCUCCAAUCGAAAAGUGCUUUCCACUUCUGAUAAACCUGUCUUUUAGUAUCACGGUAAACAUUGCACUAUUCUUACUCGAGUCUCAACAUGUCAUAUUACGCAUUUUGGCACACUGUACAGGGAGUCUAUCAAGAAACAUCAUAGUUUAAUAGUUUUUAUAUAUAUUUAUUACUCUGUAAACCUUUUAUUUAUUACUCUUUAAAGUAGCAAAACCGUAGCAUGAUUCAGCGGAAGCAAUGUAUAUAUUCAUGGAAAAAUAAAUAAAUAUAGCACAUAAUCUCAUCUGCAAUCAUCCAAUUAUAGCCGGCCCUGCUGUCAUCUUACUUAAUUGCUCAAUUAAAUUGGCUUUAAUUGAAUUUCCCACUUGACUUUGGGGACUCUUUAAUGUCACCGGAUGGAAAGAGGAAAAAAAAUAAACCAGGCCCCGGGAUAAUGAGACUGAAGUCAAGUCAACGGAGGCGCGCCUCCCUCUCCUCCUGACUCCUUCGCAGUCGACAAACUCACUCCAGCGCACGUUGGUAAUUUCAUGUUUGAGAGAUUUUAACUGCAUGACGACGAAAUUUGACCACCACCCCAAAUGGAGACGCUCCAGUGGAGAAGACCAAGGCCAGAUUGCAGAGGCAGGACAGGAAAUUAGAUACUUUUACACACUUUCUCGGGCUUACAAACAUUAUCAAUCAAAGCUGGUGACGACCUUGUGUACACACUUGUAGAGAACACAAAGACCAUAAAAUAAUCGGCUUUGUGCAAUAGGGUCCAUUUAUCCACAAGGCAUGUGACUGAACGGAACUAUUUUUGGUUUUCUCUUUGCGUCACGACACAAGUCCUUGUACAAGUGCAGAACGUGUCAUGUUUUUGAGAAAGAGACAAAUCCGACACAUCACACAGCAGCAAGUGACGCAUAUGACUAUUGGACUCAUCUGUGGAACAUUUAUUAAAGCAGCAGUGACACAUGCAAGUGGGCGAGGGAGUCAAGAAUGUUAACCUACAGAAUGUGAAGUGACUGUUUGAGUCAUUGUGUCUUUCUAAGUCAUGUCCUUCUACAUCCAUUUGAAGUUGUUUACUUUUAAAAUUUGUCUUACAAGAUGUGAUGUCAUUAAAAAGGUCAAGCUGUGGCAGAAGUAAAAAAAAGCACAAUAAAAACAAUGAAACUAAAAACUAGCAAUGAUGUUCCUUUAACAUGAGCUAUGGAACACAAAAUCAGAAUACCAAAUCGCUACUUUUUGCACACGCUUUGAACCCUGCGGCUUAUAGUUCGGUGCGGCUUAUCAACAGUUUUUUUUGUGAUUUUUAUAAUAUUGUAUUAUUUGUGCAUAUUCUCUUAUAUGGAAAUCAAACAUUAAAACACCUGUCUCUCAUAGUCCAGUGCGGUUUAUAUAUGAACAAAACAGGAUUUUCCUCGAAUUUUAGCUGGCGCAUCUUAUUUUAUAGUCCAAAAAUGACGGUAAUUACAACUGCAAUCAGCGUAAUAGUGUUGUAUUUUCACUCGUUUGUGAUUUCUGCCAAUUCUGUCAGUCAAUGUGGAACCAGUCAAAUAAAUCCAAAUCAACCUUACAAUCCAUU